UAAGAUGCGAGAAGUGAGGUUACGUUUAUUCGGGCACGUGAUUUUAUGGAUGAUUUUAGGCAGGGUAGAGGUAAACCGAAAAAAUAUUGAAGGGAGGUGAUUAGGCAUGAUAUGAAACAGUUACUGUUACAGUUGAUACCGGCCCAGAUUCACAAGUCAAGGCCCAACUGAUUUGUAAUUAGUUGUACAGUUAAUUUCUUUUUUUCUCAUGUGUAUUGGCCCGAUCCAAUGAGACCCACUUAUAUAUAAGGUUAGAUAUUUUUAUUGUAGAUGGACAAUCGACAUUUGAGAUAGAGAGAGAAAUAUAGCUGAUCAGUUUUUCUUCUUGUUCUCUAGAACAUUCUGGGGUUUUCGUAUUCAAAUCCCUUUGUAUUUUUGCAAAGACUUCAUAUUUUGACAUGGUAUCAGAGCAAACAUGGUAGAUCCAGUGCUUCUCUAAGUUUCUAUCGGCACAUUUUUGGUAUUUACAGUUCGUCAAAGUCCAUGGCAUUUCGAUAGUUUUCAUCGAAAAUCAGUGGUUUCACUGGAAUCAGUGCUUCAAUACUCUGGUAAAGUGGUUUCAUCCAUCUUCUCACUUGCUGAAAGGUCAUUCGUAUAGGUUUUAAUUUCAAUGAUGCGGUGACAUUUUUUUGGCAUAUUACGGUGUUAUCCCCUCAAUUCUCUACUCUUAUAUUGUAUUAGUGACUUGCUGUAGCUGAUUUUGAUUGAUUCAAUGGCUAUCGAUCUAGCUCAUCCAUCUACUUCGACUACUUUUAACCCUAGUAUCGAUAUUUCUCAUUCCUUGUACUUACAUCCCUCGGAUACUUCGGGGACUGUCCUUGUAUUUGUUCCUUUCGCUGGUAUCGGCUAUGGAGAAUGAAGGGAAGGGAUGAUGAUUUCGUUGUCUGCUAAAAAUAAAUUGCACCUCAUAAAUGGAACUUUUGAGAAACCCGCAGCUAACUCUCCACUUCUUCCUUAUUGGGAAUGUUGUAACAAUAUGUUGAAGGCUUGGAUAAUGAAUUCUCUCUCUAAAGAAAUAGCUAAGACUGUUCUUUAUUCUAAGACUAAUAAAGAAGCUUGGGAUAAUCUAGAGCAGAGAUAUGGUGUAGUCAAUGCAUCUCAGUACUACAGUCUUCAGCGUGCUAUAAAUUCCAUCUCCCAAAGCUCUCUUGACGUAGCUAGCUAUUUUACCAAACUCAAAGGACUUUGGGAUGAGUUAGGUACAUAUUCUUUUUGUAAACCAUAUGUCUGUGGAGCCUUAGUACAUAUUCUUUUUGAAAACCAUGUGUCUGUGGAGCCUUACAUGAAUUGAUCGAAGGACAACAACUCAUCCAAUUUCUUUCUGGACUGAAUGAUACAUAUUCCACCGUACGUAGAAAUAUUUUGAUGAUGAAUCCUGUCCCAUCCGUUGGACAAGCUUACGCUAUGUUAAUAAGAGAUGAGAAGCAGAGAGAAAUCAAGUCUGAUAUGACAAGUUUCUCUCCUGAUGCCACUUCAUUUCAUGUUACCUCACAAUUUAGACAAAAUCACUCAUACCCUGGUGUUGAAGUUGGUUUUGCCUCCCACUAUGCCCAACCUCCACAAAAUUCUACCAGACCUUCAACAAAUAAUUCGAGAAAUUUUUCUCAAAGGAUCAACUAUGAAUCCACUUACAAGAAAUCCUUGGUUUCUUGCAAGUAUUGCAAGAAACCUGGACAUACAGUGGAAUAAUGCUACAAACUUCAUGGUUUCCCAUCAGAUUUUAAAUUUUCUAAAUGUAAAAGAAUUGCUGCCUGUGUACAGCUAGAUCAAUCUUCAGAUUCUUCCACUGUUGCUCCAUCCACUCCUGCCAGUUCCUCUUAUGGUUUUCCCCCGAAUAAUAUGCUCACUUGUUGAGCUUAUUUCAACAAGUUCAGAUAUUUCCUCAACUUCAACCUUCCUCUUCUCAGUCAUCCUUCACAGGGAUUUCUUAUUAACCAACACAAGUACACUAAAGAAUUGAUUGAGGAGUUUCAUUAUUCUGAUUGCUCUCCUAUAGUUACUCCUUUGGAGCUUUACCCAAAACUCCUCCCUGAUUCUGGAACUUUACUUCCCGAUCCUACCAACUUUCAAAGGCUUGUUGGUAAGUUGAAUUUUUUGCAACACACCAGAUCGGACAUUUCAUUUACAGUUUAACAUUUAAGUCAGUUUCUCAAUGCUCCAAGGUCUACUCAUAUGCAAGCUGCUUUACAUGUUUUGAGAUAUUUGUCACAUGAUCCUGCUAAGGGUAUUCUCCUUUCUAGUUCUGCUGAUUUCACUCUUAAGGCAUAUUCUGAUUCUGAUUGGGCAGCUUGUUCUAUUUACCGUAAGUCUGUAUCUGGGUUCCUGAUUACCUUGGGUGAUAGUCCUGUUUGCUGGAAGUCCAAGAAGCAGCCUACUGUUUGCCUAUCUUCAGCUGAAGCUAAAUAUCGAGCUAUUCGAAAGACAGUUGCUGAAUUGACUUGGUUAGUUCGUCUUUUAUCUACCAGUUCCUCUUUUUUGUGAUAACCAAGCCGCGUUAAGCAUUGCUCGUAAUCCUGUUCUUCACGAUCAUACGAAGCACAUUGAGCUCGACUGCCAUUUUGUUCGUGAAAAGCUUGUUGUUGGUCUUAUUUCCUUACACUACAUUCCUACUAACUCACAACUGGCUGAUAUUCUCACUAAAUCCUUGAUCGGUGAAUCUCAUCAUCGUUUGCUGUCCAAGCUGGGCGUUCACUUACCCUCCGGCUCGCGGGGUGUUACAGUUGAUACAGGCCCAGAUUCACAAGUCAAGGCCCAACUGAUUUGUAAUUAGUUGUACAGUUAAUUUCUUUUUUUCUCAUGUGUAUUGGCCCAAUCCAAUAAGGUCCACCUAUAUAUAAGGCUAGAUAUUUUUAUUGUAGAUGGACAAUCGACAUUUGAGAUAGAGAGAGAAAUAUAGCUGAUCAGUUUUUCUUCU